CAAUAGCGUAUAUUAAAGUUGUUGCGGUUAAGAAGCUCGUAGUUGGAUUUCUGCUGAGGACGAUCGGUCCGCCCACUGGGUGAGUAUCUGGCUCGGCCUUGGCAUCUUCUUGGAGAACGUUGCUGCACUUGACUGUGUGGUGCGGUAUCCAGGACAUUUACUUUGAGGAAAUUAGAGUGUUUCAAGCAGGCGCACGCCUUGAAUACAUUAGCAUGGAAUAAUAAGAUAGGACCUUAGUUCUAUUUUGUUGGUUUCUAGAGCUGAGGUAAUGAUUAAUAGGGAUAGUUGGGGGCAUUCGUAUUUAACUGUCAGAGGUGAAAUUCUUGGACUUGUUAAAGACGGACUACUGCGAAAGCAUUUGCCAAGGAUGUUUUCAUUGA
rnacentral:rRNA from 1 species